GACGAACGCUGGCGGCGUGCUUAACACAUGCAAGUCGAACGGAAGGGCCCUGCUUUUGUGGGGUGCUCGAGUGGCGAACGGGUGAGUAACACGUGAGUAACCUGCCCUUGACUUUGGGAUAACUUCAGGAAACUGGAGCUAAUACCGGAUAGGAGCUCCUGCUGCAUGGUGGGGGUUGGAAAGUUUCGGCGGUUGGGGAUGGACUCGCGGCUUAUCAGCUUGUUGGUGGGGUAGUGGCUUACCAAGGCUUUGACGGGUAGCCGGCCUGAGAGGGUGACCGGCCACAUUGGGACUGAGAUACGGCCCAGACUCCUACGGGAGGCAGCAGUGGGGAAUAUUGCACAAUGGGCGGAAGCCUGAUGCAGCAACGCCGCGUGCGGGAUGACGGCCUUCGGGUUGUAAACCGCUUUCGCCUGUGACGAAGCGUGAGUGACGGUAAUGGGUAAAGAAGCACCGGCUAACUACGUG
rnacentral:rRNA from 1 species